GCUUGCUUCUGUUUCUGCAAUUUUUUUGGUCAUGUCCUUUACUUCAAACUGCUGUAGGAUGGUGAUGGUGACAUCUCAAGAUACAAGAAUGCUGGCUCAGACCUAAAUUCAAAACACGAUUCGAGGUCUUCCAGCCCCCGAUUGGCAGAUGGGAAAGAGCAUCGUGAGAGAAAUGGCCUGAGAGGACGAAGCAGGUAGGAAUUAACUGGAUUUACUAAUUACUCAAAAAUUUUAAGGUACUCAAUUGGCAGGGGUUUGAUUUUAUUUUUUGGAAUGUCUUAAACUCUAAACGGAACAAAACUUAGACCACAUCUUGAUUUGCAUGUACUCCUAAUUUUCUACUGCUUAAUUUUUUGCUCUUAGGCUUUGUGUAAAUGAUAGGAAAAUCUUAUACAGGAUAAUAUUUCCCAAGAUAAAUGAGUGGACAAAAUGGAUGACUCAAGGAUAUGGAUGGAAGUGAGGUCUUGUAAACUAUCUUGGAGCUCAUAGCAAUUUGAACGAGAAUGUUAUGAAGUUGGACAGUUUUGGGUUAAUUUUUUAUGCCAGAAAUGGUUUUCUACGUAAAUAUUCUUAGAACUAGAAAGAGUAAAAAACAUGGAGAUUACUAGAGGAGGAUGAGAGAGUUUUGCUCAUUCGAGGGUAGGUCAAAAUCAUGCAUUUAAUUUCAAACUCUGUGCAUCAAGUCUACUGACAUGAAGAAAUUUUCCCACUUCAAUAAGGAUUUGGACAAAUUGGAGUAAUUUAAAAGUCUGGAGACUAUGAUCGCUUGAAAUUGGGACUAACCUAGAGUCUUGGAUUCUUAUGAAUUGCAACUUCUAAAUAUUAUUUUAAUUUUCUAGAUCAAUUAGGACUUAUGCAAUGUAAAAAGGGAUAAAUUCCAUUCGCUGUAACUAUGCUUUCGCUUUAUGUCAAUUAGGUGACUUUAGGAGUGGCGUGUGGUUUGGCUCAGUUCGAUCUUAAAGGGAAUCUAACCAAACUAAUUACCAAUGUGAAUUUUACAAAUGGAAUUAUUGGUUCCUUAUGUAUCGAACUGGAAAUGGACAAAUUGUUUCCUAUUUCUUUCGGUACUUUAUACUUAAAAUAAUGAAAAUAGAUUAUGAAAUCAAUUGUCAUUCCUAUAAUCUAACAAACAAAAAAUCAAUGAAUAGCAAGUCACUAAUAUAUUCCACAUGCUUUUUUAUUAGAGGUACUAGCUAGAAUAUUUAAAUUAUACAUAUUGUCCAAUGAUUAAAAUAACACCAAGUAUGUAAGUUUAAAAAAUAAAAAUUAAAAAAAUGCCAUUAAUCAAGAAUUACCACUAAUUUUGCUUUCCAGUUUCAAAUUCUCACUAAAUUUGCUUUAAAAUUGCCAAUUCACAAGUGAACAAUGUAAUAUGGAGUCAAAUUUGAAUAAUAAGUUAACUAAAUAUCAAAUCCCAAAUUUUAGUAGAAUUAACAAUCUACCAUAAUAAAAUUUAACUUAAGAACUCUUCAAUGUCUUCAACUUACAAAAUUUUAGUAGAAUUAACAAUCAACUGUAAUAAAAUUAAACUUAAGAAGUCUUCAAUGUCUUCAACUUAGCCCUUGUUUGACACCCAUUAAAAUUCAAAUACAUUUUUUACUCUUUUUUUCAACCAUACAUUUUUCAAUAAAAUAAUAUUACACGUAAAUUAAAAAAAAAAAAAAAUCUUUUUUAAUCACACAUCCUCCCAAAAAUACUAUUUUAUCAUACAUUUUACCAAAUUUUCUCUUUAUAAUGUGUCAAACAAGGGCUUAUCUGCAUCAAUCCUUUUAAAGAGUGAGUCCACCCCUUGCAUUGAUUUUAAAAUAUAAAAAUUAAAUGUUAAUAUAUGAACGAAAAAUUACACAUAAGAAAUUACAAAUAAAAUAUAAUUACGGUCGUACUUUCAACUAGAUCAUCAAUGAAUUUUCACAAUCAUUGAAUAAUCCUUUGUGUGAUUAUGUUUCUUAACAAAUUCUACAUGAUAUUGCAAAAAAAAAAAAAAAAAUUUUUUUUUAUAACUGUCAAUAUUAAAAGAAGCAUAAAUAAAAAGUAAAAACAAGUUUACAAUCUAAUAAACAAAAAUAAAAUAAGAUAUUCUAAUUAUCGAUUUCCAAUUUAAUAAAUUGUUCAUGAUAUUCCAUCUCUUCAAUGCCCACUCCAUAUAGUUGGUCUCCCAAGUGUAGAACAUAGCCAAUUUUGUAUAUAAAUUAAAGCCUCAAUUAUUUUGGGUGUAUUAACUCCUAAAUGAAUCAAAAACUCGCCCUACGGCACUAAAUGUCGACUCCAAAGCAACAAGAGAGAGAGGUUUGCAAGUAGAUCCCUUGCAAUCUUAAACAAAAUUGCAUAUCUUGGACAAUUUAACUUAAAAGUUGAAUUACUAGUUUUCAGUGGGGUCCAUUAGUUAUCUCUGAAUCUCAUCUUUUAACAAAUUAGCAUUGCUACUUCUUCCUUUUUUUUUUUUAAAAAAAAAAAAAUACCCAAAUCAAAAUUGUUGGACUCAUCCCAUGAUCAUCUGCAUAAGCCUCAACCAAAUUGUCAUUAAAGUCAUGAAUACCACCAUCUCCAUCAUUGGAUGCACUAUGCCAUCCUUUAUACCUAUUUUACAACUCGCGAUAAAAUCUUGAUUUCAUUUUUUCGAUUCAACCAAGCUAUUAUCAUAAAAGUGACCAAUACAAUAAACUACUUCCAACUUGUACCGAGGAUUCAAUCACAAUAGCUCUAAUAUCUGUAUUUUGUUCAUUUUAUCAACAAUCCCCCAAUACUUGUCGAAUUCACUCUUCAUGUUUUUUGCCAUAUCACUAAAUAAAAGAUCUUGCUAUGCUAAAUUUCUUCAAAAUUUGUUGAAUAUUACGAACUUCUUAAAAGUACAAAUUCGAGGUCACAUUCAAAGAUUCACUAAAAUUUUAAGUGAUUUUGUGAAAGGUUUCUAGAUACUUAAUAAUUUCCUCAUAUUUUUCCCAAUUGUCUCUUGUAAUUACCUCCUAUUUCCUUCCCAUUCUCACGCUCAUCAAAAUAUAUGCAAUAAAACCCAUAUUCCUUUGCCAUCCGAUCUAAUAGUUUCUCAAACUUAAGUGCACCAUCCAACAUCAAGUAUGUUGCAUUCCACCGAGUAAGCUAAUUUUUGCACUAAUUUCUUCUUUUAUCACAAAUCUUGAAUUUUGCUAAUCUUGAAGGGGAUGAUCCAAAAUAUUUCACGGCAUUCGUAUACUUGCUAUUGCCACGUUAAACUCUUUCAACUCAUCUUUUACCAUUACAUUCAAAAUAUGUGCACACCUUACAUGCGUAAGGGACCCACAUAAUGCCAUCCUAUCAACUUUCCCAUUCUUUAAUAUAUUUUUCGUAUUCAAUAGCCCUAUCAUUUGCACUUGUAUUAACAGUAGUAAUUAUGGAUACAUGCUCUAUUUUCUAGUCAAGCCAACAUUUUUCAGCAAGUUUUACUAUUGUUUUUCCUUUAUGGUUACGAACUAUCGAAACUCAAUAUCCUCUUAUUUAACACCCAGUUUUUGUCAAUAAAAUGGGACGUGAUAACCAUGUAAUUAAUAUAUUUAUUUAUGUCUUGCAAUUUGUGGUAAGACACAACUCUUGCUUAUUAGCAAUAAGCUUACCUUUCAAUAAUUCUCUCUUCACUAUAAAGUUUUAGCACGUCCCUAUUAACUAUUCUACGAGAUGGAAUAUCUGACUUAGGGCAUUCAUAUCCUAUAUAUUUUCUAAACCCAACACCAUCAAUAAAGCUAACGGCAAUUCAUUGACAAUAAUCAUUUUCACCAUUGCCUUCCUACAUGCUUCUUUGUUAAACACCAUAGCACCAAUAUCGGCAAUGCCACCGUUACCACCAUCAUUGUCAUUUAAUCAUCUCGUUAGUACCUUGUCUUUAAUCUAUUUGGUACUCUUGUAUGCUUUGCAAGUGUUUCCACAAGUUAGAAGUUUUAGUUUCAUUGGAAUCAUGAGCAUAAGAUUCCCACAUAGCUACAUUCUGCCCUUUUUCCCUUGUAUCUUAGUAAAAUGUUACCAUACUUUCGAUCUCACAUUCAGGCUUCUUUUAUUUUCAACAAUCUCUGCGUUCAUCUACGUGACAAAUAGUAGAAAAUACGUAAAACAAAAAACUGAUUCUAUACUAUGAAAUCAAUGGUUUUCAUGGCAACAAUCUUCAAACUUCUUAAGUUGUUCAUCCUAAUAGAAUUCAUUUCUUCCAAAGUAUACUUCAUUCUUCAUUUUGUAAUUAUAAAGAUUCAACUGAAAAAGAAUUCUAUGUUGGGAAUUGGAAAAUGGAAAUCAACUUCUAUUGUAAGUCCUUUGUAAAGAAAUAGUUGCAAAUUUUUUCCAAAUUGUAAAGACUCUUUAUCCAAAUUUUAAAGACUCUUUAGCAUGUCAUUAAUCAAAUCAAGCUAUAUCUUCGUACUCGUAAUCUACUGACUGCAAUGGGUUGUGAAAAACAUUCAGAUUGCAAUCUCUUUAGUCUUUAACGCUUAAUAAUCUAACUUAUACUGUAUAUACUUAAAGUUUACACAAUAUAAAUAUUGUCUUCUCAGCAUUAAUAUAGAUUUCAUUAAUUUAAAUAGCAUAAUGUUUCAGCAUCAACUGAUAAUGAAUUUUUGCAUACAAGAUAAAAAUAAAGUCAUAAAUUAUCACGUUGUUCAAUAAAUCCUAUAAUUGAAUUCAGUGAAUGAAGACCAAACAAGGCAACAACCAAACAAUCCAACUCCAAGCUCAAAUUUAGAUUGCUCUAGAUUUACUAAACAUUAUAUAUUUGAUAUAGGAGCAUACAAAUUGAUAAAGAACAAUAAGAAGAAAGGGGAUCAAAAGGAAGAAAUGAGGGCAAGAGAAAACUUUUAUUCAUAUAAUUAUGGUCUGUUUAUAAACAUUGUCCUAAGUCUCUUUAUAUAGAGGACUUCGAAAUUAAAUAAACUUCCUAGUAUCAAUUUGGUAUCGGAGCAAUGAGAAGAAACGGGAUCAAAUAGAAGAAUUGAGGGCAAGAGAGAUAGUUUUAUUCAUAUAAUUCAGGUCUGUUUGUAAACAUUCCCCUAAAUCUGUUUAUAUAGAGAAAGACUUUGAAAUUAAAUAAAUUUCAUAUCUAAACAAACUUGAAAUAAAAGAUAACAAUUGUCAUAAUCAAACUACUAUAAUAUAGAUAAACUGGAAUUCUAUUAAUUCUUAGUUUUUCGUCUUGAAUAGACUUUUAGUUGUUUCCUUGUUGUGUCAAUAUUGCUCCAGUCCAGAAUUCGUCGAUUAAAGUUUAAUUCUUAAAAAAAUCAUACAACAGUUUAUAUAUAAAAAAAUACAUCUAGGUAUUUUAAUUCAAACUCGAUUAUCUUCAAUAAUGUCAAGGUGAUCUCGAGAAGAUCUUGAUUCUUGACAUCAUAUCAAUUUUGAUAAAAUGAGAGAUUUGAGUUCUUGCGAAAGAUCAAAUAGAAGAUAUAUUUUUCCCUUUUGGGGUUUGCACUAAAAUUAUGAAUUUGUAAAGUAUUUAUAGAAUUAUUUAGAACGUGGAUUUUGAUAUUUUGAAUCUUGAUUACGGAGUAGGUUUUCCUUACAAAGGAUAGAGUCAGAAUUGUAGAAGUGUAUCAAAAGGUGGUGUGAGAUAAUUCUUGACCUAGGACUUUAUAGCCUGUUUGGUAUGGAUUAUUUUAAUCUAAGUCAACGUCAAACAAUCAAUAUUAACCACAUCUUUCAUGGUUUCCAUAACUUUUCAACCAUAAAUUUCAAAAACUUCUAUCACGAUCUACUGAAAAAUAUAAUUUUAAUCCCUACCAAACACCCUUUUAAUGUCAAAAUAUGAGGACCUGGUAUAUCUUGGUGCAAUGCACCUAUGUAAUAUAAAUUUUGGGAAAAUCAUCUGUUCUCAUGGCUGCACUGAAAACCAGAUCGAGCCACUUAGUAAAGGAAUAGGAGCCUGGAAAGAUUGUCCACCUCUAGGAAAUUGUACUUCAAUUUUGUUCAAUUGGGUAACUAAAAUUUUUCAUUUCAAUUGGAUAAUUUGAUUUUAAUCAAAUAACUAGGUUUUGAUUUUAUUUAAAUUAAAGUAACUUCGUCCAAUUCCACCAACAAAAAUUGAUGACGUGGCUAUUUAUAAAUUUUGGUCAUCAUACAUAACCGUCAGAUGCUAAUGGGAAAUAUGUACAACUUAAGUGAAAUCAAUGACGACCGUCGUUUUUUAAUUGUCACGUCAUUGAUAUUGUCUGUCCAAGUGAUAGAAUCAUAGAAAUCCAUUUGAAAUCAAAUUAAAGUGUAGUUAUACAAUUAAACAAACAUCAGUAUCUAGGUAUUGACUCCAGAUGAAAAUGUAGUUACCUCAAAUGGAAUUUAUCCAUGUAAAAACCUAGUAAGAAUGAAAUAUGCCUUUGGAGAAUCUAUAUUUCUAAUAUAUAUCAAUUAUCUAGGAGUAACAAAACAUCAUUCCUCUUUUGUUUGCUAAUACAAGGUGAUUGAUGUUUGUUUAGGUACAGCCUUGUAGGUUUCAAAAACUCGACUUUUCCACAUAGUAAUUGCUACUGGAGUAUACAUAUGUGCAAUUGAGUUUUCUUAUCCAAAAUAUUGUUUACUUGCUAGAUAUAUAUGUCGAAAAGUGUGCUAAAUCACCAUUGCUGCAAACAAUCAAGUUCUUUUGGGGCUUUUUGGAGGCUUUCACCUCCAUAAGUAUUUGUUUUUUCCCAAGAAGUUUCGAUUCCAUUGUUAAGUGGUCUCAAGUGAUGUUUUGUCACAUAUAUUAGUUUCGAGUUUUUUGUAUCUUUUCUUUUACCCAUCUUUUUCUUUGUUACUUGAUGAAGAUUGUUGAUUAUUAGCAUUAUAUGAGUUAACAAUCAAUUAAUAAGAUAAUGGGUAUCAUGAGAUUUUAGGUGUUAUAUGUUAAGCCACUUUAUGUAAAAGCUUAAGUUAUUCAUAUUUUGUCUUUGCCUAUCAUGCACACAUUUUGAUAAAUGCAUUUUUUUGUGGGCAGCAUUGCCGCCUCUCGUAUAACGUAGAACCAUUUUUGUCUGAAAGCUUAAGCCAUUAUAAGGGGAUACAUUUAUUUAUUCAAGUUUUAUUUUCAAAGUUAUGGAAUAUAUGUAGUGUCUUGAAAUUAAAAAUGUCAAUUUCCUUGUAAUUCCUCAUGGUUUGAACUCCGUGCAACGGAUAAGCGUAUUAAAGAGCCAUACAAAAGUGCAAUUUUUUUUUCUUCGUUUACUUUGGCUGUAAUGACCCGGACCUCUCGUCCAAGCCGUUAGUUUACGUACUGUCCGCUUUGGGUGGCCACUUAUCCCUCACGACUUUUCUUCGCGUCCCCCAGGAUUCGAACUCUUGACCUCUACAUAAAAGAGAUUUAAGUUGAAUCAUUAUAUUAAUUGGAAAAAAUGCGCGCGUUUUUUUGUAACGACCCGGACCUCUUGCCCAAGCCAUUAGCUUACGUCCUGUCUACUUUGGGUGGGCCUUGCGCCCACUUAUCCCUCACGGCUUUUCUUCGCGUCCCCCAGGAUUCGAACUCUUGAUCUCUACAUAAAAGAGACUUAAGUUGAAUGCUCUAAAACAGACAGGACGUAAGCUAACGGCUUGGGCGAGAGGUCCGAGUCGUUACAUUGACCCAUCUUAUGAAUGAACCAUUGCAAUAUGCAUGUCACACACUUGACACUGUACUCUUAUUAGAGCUUGGAGUGUCAUGCUGAGUAUUAUUGAUAUUAGCUUGCUCCUGCUCUUAUACUGUUAUGAUUUUUAUGACCAGCAUUUUUAUUUUCAUUUAUUUAUUUGUUUAUUUAAUUUUUUGUUUCAUUUAUGUAUUGCUUUCUAUCUUUCCAGUUCAGUUAGAUUAAUGCUGGUUACACUUGUAAGUAACCUCAGACUGGGCUGAGAUGUUUUUUGGUUGACAAAUAUUAUUUGUAGAACAUCUUUAAUAUGCUGACUGGAUGAUUUAGAUUAAUAUUUGUUUCAUUUGCACAGGGUUCCACAAUCUCCUGAUUCAGCUGACCGUUCCCCAUCUCCAAGGUAAGUAUUUUGAUCAUGAUAACCUCUGGUGGUCUCUUCUACUUAAUUUUUUCUUGCUCCUUAAGAAUAAGCUUUUGGUUCCCUUUAGCAGCAGGAGGCCUUCCAGGCCAAUUAGCAAAUCCUUUUCCAAUUCUAAAAGUUAUUCUGAGUGGAUUUCCAUUUGAUGUCAGAGUGUGCUCAUAAUUUUGAUAGAUUGUGAUUUGUUAUCUGGUUUUCAUUUUAGUGAAAGACGGAGGUCAAGAAGUAUAUCUGGAUCACCUCCACCGAGAGGACGGUCCAUUUCCUCUGAGAGGCCACGUCGAUCUUCACCAAGACUGUCUGGGACACCGAGGAGGAGGCAUUCGCCUCGUCUCUCUCCUCCACCAAGGUAUAGGUCAACCCGCACUAGGAGAAGAUCUAUAUCGCAUUCAAGGCACAGGUCUCCUUCUCCCACACGAUAUAGGGUUCGUUCCCCUCUGCGUCGCAGGUCACGAUCUCCUUUGCGACGUAGAUCAAGAUCUCCCGUGUGGCGUAGGUCAAGGACACCAAUACGAAGAUCACCAGUGCAAUACAGGUCCCGUUCACCCGUGCGACGCAGAUCACCACCUGUGCGACGCAGAUCACCACCUGUGAGACGUAGAUCACCGUCUCCUAUCCCACGACGAUCACUGUCUCCUAUGCGACGACGAUCACCUUCCCCCCCUCGUCGUAGGUUGCCAUCCUUUCGUCGUAAGUCACCAUCCCCUCAUCGUAGGUCACCAUCUCCUGUAAGAAGGCAGCACCGACGAUCACCUUCAACUCCACGGCGCCAGUCUAUAUCCCCAGUUCGGCACAGGUUACCAGUGCCCAGUCGAAGAAGAUCUAUAACACCUGCCAAACGAAGGUCUCCUUCAGUGCAAGAAUCUAUUUCCCCCUCUCCCAGUUCCCUUUCACCAGUCAGGAGGCGAUCACUGAAAAGCCAGAAAUCACCUCUACGAUCUCCCAGAGAAGCAAUCAGGUACUUUAGAGCAUGUUAGCUGCUUUCGAUCUUUAAGAAUUUUUUGAUAUUUGUAUUUUAUUUUGCUUUCAAGCGUAUGGUUUGCAUGUGUUUUUGUUACUGUUACAGUUUAGAUGCUUUAGUGCACAUCUGCAGCAAUGAUAAUGGCGGAACAGACAUUUUUUUUUUUUUAAAAUUAGGAUGCCUAGGAAUACGACAAAAACAAAUCAAUUGAGAUGACACACCCCUUUUAAGCAACUGUGAUAUGUCACGACAGUGUAAUGGUUCAUAAAAAAGAGAACAGGACGUUAUCUACAUAAAAGAACACUGAAGAGACAACACAAUGAAAUUAUGUGCUUAAGACUGUUGGCAUCCUUCCACAUAACACCUAAGCACAGCCCAUAUGAACCAUAACUCAACCAAUCUACUCCAGUUAUUAAAAAAAACCUCGUGUCUUCUUUAUAGAAUAAAAGGAACAUGCUUGAAAUACAGACCUCUAAACGAGGAGGUGCCUCAAAUGGCAAGAUCAUUAAUUUGUUUAUCCAAUAUUCUACCUUUUUGCUGGCACUUCAUUCUUAACUGUAGAUAAAUAGUUCAUUGAAUUGCAACAGAACUUUCCUAUAGCUUUAGUCGGAGGGCAGAAAUGUGAGUUAAUUUUUUUUCUGUAAGGUCCAUUUCCUAGUUUGAAAAGAAUUCAUAUUUUUGUUUUUAUUGUUUAAGGGACAGGGAAACAUGCAAUAUAUCAUGAUGAUGUGGCAGAUAAAUGAAAAUAUUUGAGUGUUGGUAACAGCCACACAAGAAAAAAGUGUGCUCUUUGUUUAAUGAGGUUGAUCAUGAUAUUUCCAGUAUUGCCACUCUCCUUUUUCUUCCCUCUGGUUUUAUCUCUGCUUUUUCCUUUGAUCUCUUGGAAGAACUGGGCUUUCAAAUUAGAGAAACUGGGGUAGAGAGCUGAGAUCUCUAUUAUAUAUCUGGUGAAUUUUGCACGAUUUUGUGUUAUGAGAUGACCAUCUGUACUAUUUCGACUUAUUGCUCUAUUUCCAUUCAAACUGGAUUCCCAUCUGCAUGCACUUUCCUAGUUUGCAGUAGCUGUAAAAAUUUUGAUGCAUAAAAUUCCUGCUGCUGGGGAAUAUGCAUAGAAAGCAGGCUUACUUGAUCUUUGAUCUCUCUAAACUCUAAUCCAAACUCUGAACUGUAGGCCUCUUGUUUCUUUGAGAUCACCGCAAAGGGACAUGCUGGAUCGAAAUGACCAACGUGGAAGAGUGCUGGAUCCGUCUCCUCUGCACAAGUCUCCAUCUGCUUCCGAAGUGUCUGGGGAAGGAAAUCAUAUUGAACGGCAGAGGUUCAAACCUCUAUCUAUAUCUACCUUUUGGUUUUUUUAUCACAUUUUCUUGAGGUGUAACAUUGUAAGUCACAUUUUAUUUGGAUAGGUCUAGUAGUCCUCAUCGUAGUCCUUAUCAAAGAAGGGAAAGGAUCAUUCUUCCUGAGAGUCCAAACCCUUUACCGAAAGGAAUGGGAUCCAAACCUCAUCCUGAUAGUUCUGGGACAAGUGCUGAUGACAGGUAAACCUUGUAUGCUAGGUUUUGUUUGAAAAGUUCAUUGUUCUCGAACGUGGUAUUUUUUACUCUAAAUUUCUGAGUUGUGCAUGGUUUUAUUUUUUAUUUAGAGAGAUUGGAAAGCUUAAACAUAGAUCUUUAGAGAAAAAUUCUCCAUCACAUGAUCGGCAUAAAGAUUCUUUUGGCUUUGAUGAUCAUGUGAAGUCAAGAAAUCCUCGUCAACUGCCAGACAGGUUUGCUGUUGCUGUGGUACAUUCUGUCUCAGUAGUCUAUAGUUUGUGUAUAACUGAUCUAAUUUUUGUAUUUUUUGUUUUUAUUUGAAUAAACCAGUGAAAAGUUAGCUGAAAGAGUGGAUCACAUAAUAAAUCCCGAGAAACAAGAAUCAUUAGUGAUUCGUAAAAGCGCCAUAUUAAGAGAGGAAGGAAAGGGAUCAUAUGUUGACAAUGAUUACAGAGCUGUUGAUAAGAAUACAUCUGUGUAUGACGAUACCAAGGGCAGUGGUCGACAUUCAGAACUUGAAGUCUUGCCUAAUUUGUCUGGGGCAGACAAGCUGAAUGCUCGAAGUCGUUCAGUGGGAUUCAACUCUGAGGAAACUGACAGGCAUAAAACUAAAAUUAAAGAAAAGGGAAAGCACAAGAGGUCAGAGAGACAAGAGGUGGAAUCAGAUGACUAUUCUAGCUAUGAUUCUUAUGAGAAGAGGAAGGAGGCUAAGAGGAGGAAAAAAGAGGAGAAGAAAUUGAAAAAGGAGGAGAGGCAUCGACGGCGGGAGGAACGGCGCCGCAGAAAAAAGGAAAAGCAUGCAGAGAAGCUGAAAUUGAAGUCGCUUGACGCUGGUAGUCCAUCUUUAGAUAUUGAGAUUGAUCAUGAUCGUCAUGCUUCUUAUGAUGACGGUUAUAGAAGGCGGGAAACGCAUACAAGUGACAUGGAGGAAACAGAAUCUGAGCAGAAAAAGCUUGAGAUAGAGUUGAGGGAAAAGGCUCUUGAGUCGCUUCGAGCAAAGAAGGGCGCUCAGAAUUAAAUUUUUUUGCUGCUCUAGAAUAUUUCACUUUUAUUUUCUGUUAUAUGAUCCUGUUAUGAGUUCCUGUUUCUGUCCUAGACCUAUUCUGUUUCGGAUGAAUGUAUUCUUGGUGGCUAUUUAAUGUAAUGUGUCUUUACUGCUGGCAGCUGAAUGGAUAAAUGAGGAUUUCCUGAGCUAGUGUCUUGAGUGCAACUUUAUGCUGACUUUCCUGCUAAAUUUGCUGGUAAUAUUUGUCUUCCCUUCACUGGGAAUAUGUUUAUGUUAUAUUUACACGACACAAAAGUGUGCACGUGAAUCAUCUUGUUGCUUGGGUGGUGCUUUCCAUCUUUUACUAUUUUGUGUCUACUAUACUUACAUUUUGGUAUUUGCUUGUCUUCUGUGAGUUGGAAUUUCAAUUAAGCUUGCAGGUAAGGAGUGCCUAACCUUUUAUUCUUUGGAAUGAUUAUGUGCAUCCUGAAGGUCUUGACAGUUAUUUCCCUAAAUAACUUUGUUACUAAAAUGACUUUCUGGUUAAUUGAUAGAUGAGAAUAAUUGUCAACUUGACGACUUCGUUGAGCAGAUCUUGUGCAACUCCAUAUUUUAGACCUCCAUACAGGUGAAGUAUUUUACUCUUAGUUGGUUUCUCUUAAAUAAUUAUUUACUUGGUUGAGAUUUGAAUUUCGAAUUCUGUCAGAGUUCUAAUUCUACCUCUGUAUCGUUGGCAGCCUGAGAGUUAUUCCCAAGAAUUUGAUUUUCUAUUCUACAUGAUACCUUUAAGUUCCUGUUCAUCCUGUUUCCAUGUUGAUUGCAGCUGGUAAUCAAUACUGGUGCAUAAUUGUGG
rnacentral:lncRNA from 1 species